rnacentral:rRNA from 1 species
AUUGAACGCUGGCGGCAUGCCUUACGCAUGCAAGUCGAACGGCAGCGGGGACUUCGGUCCGCCGGCGAGUGGCGAACGGGUGAGUAAUGUAUCGGAACGUACCAUUGAGUGGGGGAUAACGUAGCGAAAGUUACGCUAAUACCGCAUAUUCUCUCCGGAGGAAAGCAGGGGACCGCAAGGCCUUGCGCUCUUUGAGCGGCCGAUAUCAGAUUAGCUAGUUGGUGAGGUAAUGGCUCACCAAGGCGACGAUCUGUAGCGGGUCUGAGAGGAUGAUCCGCCACACUGGAACUGAGACACGGUCCAGACUCCUACGGGAGGCAGCAGUGGGAAUUUUGGACAAUGGGGGCAACCCUGAUCCAGCCAUGCCGCGUGAGUGAAGAAGGCCUUCGGGUUGUAAAGCUCUUUCGGCCGGGAAAAAAUCGCAUGGGCUAAUACCCUGUGUGGAUGAUGGUACCGGAAUAAGAAGCACCGGCUAACUACGUGCCAGCCGCCGCCGUAA